CUCCAACUAUCCUUAUCUCUUGACUACCUCUACUGCUUCUUUAAUGCCAGGACAGUUCUCUUGUAAGUUAUCGUUUCCCUACUUGUGACUUAAGCAGUCAUGAACAUACAUGGCAUAAAAGGUCAAUGCAAGAUUAGGCAAGUAUGAGUAUACAGUCAUGAUCCCAGAGCUUCUAUGGAAGGCCAUGUCAUAUGGGAUAUUUAUUGUUUCCAGAAGGGACAAGGCACAGAUUAAAACCUGUGAAGGGUGAAGCCUAGUGCCUAUAUCAAUGGGUCACGCAUCUAGUUCUGUAUCUCAUCCUCUUUGAGCAGAAACAGAAGUCCACGCAACUAGACUUGAGAACCAGGUAACCAGAGGAAGGCAUCUGACCGU
ensembl:lncRNA